UACGUAGGGCGCAAGCGUUGUCCGGAAUUAUUGGGCGUAAAGAGCUCGUAGGCGGUUUGUCGCGUCUGCUGUGAAAACUCGAGGCUCAACCUCGAGACGUCGGCGGAAACCCUCUGGCUAGAGUCCGGAAGAGGAGAGUGGAAUUCCUGGUGUAGCGGUGAAAUGCGCAGAUAUCAGGAGGAACACCGGUGGCGAAGGCGGGUCUCUGGGCCGAUACUGACGCUGAGGAGCGAAAGCGUGGGGAGCAAACAGG
rnacentral:rRNA from 1 species